AGUUACUCAGUACCACACCGCAA
rnacentral:misc_RNA from 1 species